rnacentral:rRNA from 1 species
GAUGAACGCUGGCGGCGUGCCUAAUACAUGCAAGUCGAGCGAACAGACGAGGAGCUUGCUCCUCUGACGUGAGCGGCGGACGGGUGAGUAACACGUGGAUAACCUACCUAUAAGACUGGGAUAACUUCGGGAAACCGGAGCUAAUACCGGAUAAGAUAUUGAACCGCAUGGUGCAAUAGUGAAAGACGGUUUUGCUGUCACUUAUAGAUGGAUCCGCGCCGCAUUAGAUAGUUGGUAAGGUAACGGCUUACCAAGGCAACGAUGCGUAGCCGACCUGAGAGGGUGAUCGGCCACCCUGGAACGGAGACACGGUCCAGACGCCUACGGGAGGCAGCAGUAGGGAAUCUUCCGCAACGGGCGAAAGCAUGACGGAGCAACGGCGCGUGAGUGAUGACGGUCUUCGGAUCGUAAAACUCUGUUAUUAGGGAAGAACCAAUGUGUAAGUAAAUAUGCACGUAUUGACGGUACCUAAUCAGAAAGCCACGGCUAACUACGUG